CCCUGGUUGCUCAGACAGUAAAGAAUCUGCCUGUAAUGCAGGAGACCCAGGUUCGAUCCCUGGGUCAGGAA
rnacentral:tRNA from 1 species